rnacentral:misc_RNA from 1 species
GAUGAAGAACGCAGCGAAAUGCGAUAAGUAAUGUGAAUUGCAGAAUUCACUGAAUCAUCGAAUCUUUGAACGCACAUUGCGCCCCCUGGUAUUCCGGGGGGCAUGCCUGUCCGAGCGUCAUUACAACCCUCAAGCUCAGCUUGGUGUUGGGCCCCGCCGCCCCGGCGGGCCCUAAAGUCAGUGGCGGUGCCGUCCGGCUCCGAGCGUAGUAAUUCUUCUCGCUCUGGAGGUCCGGUCGUGUGCUCGCCAGCAACCCCCAAUUUUUUUCAGGUUGACCUCGGAUCAGGUAGGGAUACCCGCUGAACUUAAGCAUAUCAAUAAGCGGAGGA